ACGUUGAUUUGCAGGGCUGCUACAUUGCUACACGCCCAUAUAUGUUCUACACGUUCACCCCCCCAACCUCAUUAUUACAUCUGGUGUUCUCUUGUAAGCAGGCGAGCACGUUUUCUCAUCGGACAAAACGACGAAGACGAAAUGGGACUUCUUACAGCAGUGGCUGUCGCAGCAGGCGCAGCAGGCGCAGCAGGAGGGGUUUUGAUUUUUGCACCUGUUGCUAUUGCCACGAUUGGUUACUCCGCUGCGGUGGGAUUGACUGCUGUGGUUAACACUGGAUUGGUGACUGGCACAGCAGCAGCAGCAGGUUCAGCUGGUGUGAGCGCUGCUGCCGCGCCUGUCGCAGGCUUAGUGAUGGCGCUCUUCUGAGUCCUCGACACCUAAAAUCCAUCCAGUAUUGCAAAUGAUCCAUUACACGCUUUAUGCCAUGAUGCUGGUGUGCAUUGAAAUUUAGGAUGCAUUUGUGUUUCAGUAAUGUCAAGAUGUUACAGGUUUUUUUUUCUUAUAUUGAAAUUUGAGUGAAUAAAUGAACUCCCCACAUUUGUGUGCAAGGCUUUAGUUGCUGUGCAUGUUGCAGUUCACCGACACAAGGCUCUGAAAGUGUUCUCACAUCUGUUUUGAGCUCGAGACGAAAGGUCCAAUCUGAAGUAUUACAACUAUUUAACCUUUGUCUAUAAAUACUUCUGUUAAAAUCAACCCAACGGAAAGAACACCAGUGGUGGAGGCUGAUAAGGUCAUGUUGGGGAAGAAUCCAGGGCACCUGCUUAAAUGUGAACUGACGAAGGCACAAAGUGUAACCCUGUUCAGAACUGCAGAUAGACAUGCUUAUCUAGGAUAUACCAUAAGAUGCUUUGAGAAUGUUACAUGAUUGAUGGUAGCCAUCCAUGUAUGAGAUAGUCUAUUUAUUCAUUUUGAUGAUGAUGAUGAUGAUGGGGAUAACAGGAUAGCUUUGUGGAAAAACUACGAUUUGAGUUUCAAAAUAAAAAACACCAGUCGCUGAUUGGGUUCCCGUAAUCCAUAUCAGCUGUCUGGAAUGACUCAAUGCGUGGGUUCAAGUACUGGGGCGCAGUGGCGGAAACCCUCCUGCCUAUGUUUGUUUGUUUUGUUGUAUUUUUUGACGAGACUCACCCUAUGUAUGUUAAAAAAAUAUAUAUAUAUAUAGAUCACCUGAAAUUGGAGGGAGCGCCGCCGAUAGCGUACGUGCGCAUCUAUCAAUCUGUUUGUAAUUGUAUGUGUUGUAUCUCCCUUCUCGCCGCUACUGACUCACAUCCACAUGAACGCAAGUAUUCUACUGCAGUUCACUUUUGACAAAUAAAGGGUGAGUGCUCCAUGUUCACGGUGCGUACCCCGCCUCUCGCCCACAGUUAGCUGGGAUCGGCUAGUUGGCUCCAGCACACCCGCGGGAGGAUAAAGCGUUACGGAUGGGUGGAUACUCGAUGUCAUAUAUGUCAAACGUGUCAUUAUAUUUGGCCUGCAAGACCAUAUCAAAUGUGUAUUAGAGCUGGCCUGCCAGUAUAUAGUGCAUGCACCACUAAUAUUACAAAUCCCAGAAUGCUUUGCCUCUCAUUCUCCAAAUGCACCACCAGGAACAAUGAACAGGUAUUGCAAGAUAUUGCAUCCCAUGGCCAUCAAUGGCAAAGACAUGUCACCAAAUAAUAAGCAUUUAGAUUAAUAUAGCACCUAUCAAGGGACCCAAUAAUGCUUGAGUAAUAAAACACAGUGGACACGUUUUCCUCCUUUGCAGCAUCACACCAAGAAAAAAAAGUACAGUGUGUUAUAUUUUAAGGUUUUUUUACACCAAAACUAUAAUGAGUGUGAGUGCGAAUGGUUGGUUGUUUAAAUGAGCCCUGCGAUUGGCUGGCGACCAGUUCUGGGUUUUUAAAGCAAGGAUCUCCUUGCUUUAAAAACUGUUCUGCAAACAACAGGAAAUGUGUUGGUCGGAUAAGACCAUAUGUGCAUAUGCAAUUAAGAAAUAUCCUUUCUUGCUUUAUUGGUAACAAUGACUUCUGAAAUCCAUAUAGUCACAGCCUGGGGUUCAUUGGUCAAAAAAACAAAAAAGCUCCGGCAGAAGCCACUGUGAGCAAAACAAGACCAUAUAAGGAAGGGAAGAAAGGACAGGGGAAUUUCCAACAGACAGGAAGUGUUGAUGUUUACAUUGAGGGGAUGUUUGUCGUAGUGUUCUGCACAGAGAGUUUUAUAGGGGGAAAUAGUGCUUUGUAAUAAAUCAGUUUUUGAUGUGUGUAUAAUGUCCUGAUUGCAACAAACCAGCAAGUGUCCGCUAGUCUCUUUAAAAAUAAUAAUAAUAAUUUUUUAAAAAGACUGCACUUGGAACUGAUAACAGAGCCGUAUUUCAAUUGUUGUAUUAAGAUGCAUUCUUAUGACAAAUAGAAUUCCCUUUAACAAACAUUCAAGGGGGAAAGUACCUUUUCAUUGCUUGUAUACGUUCAACGAGAGUAGAACUUGUUUGACCUUCUGUGUACACUUUCGGUUUUAGCAGGUUCCCCCGCCUAUGUGCAACCAAUCAGAGCGGUGGAAGACAACGGUCGCCCACCCGAAUAAAAUCAAAAAGACAGCAGCUCCGCAUUUGAGCAAAACGACGAGAAGAGAAAACAAGACGAAGACGACAUGGGAGGCAGUUCAUCUCUUCCAGCCAGCUCUAUGCUCUAUCCAUCCCCUGUCGGGACCACGAUUGGUUAUGAUGUGAACCCGAACGUCAACCUGAUCACUUCUAUCCAGCCUGCAGCACUCGCACCAUCACCACCAGCAGCAGCAGCAAAAUCGAAACCUCACGCGAGUGUAUAAAUAAAGCCGACCCAGGCGACGUUGCAGCAAGUCUCUCCAGUGACGUGCAUUGCGGUUGCUGCGGGCGCAGGUGGUUCGGUGGCUCUGGCUCCGGUCGCCUUGGCCCUCGGCUUCACUUCUGCGGGAAUUGCAGCGGGCUCCACCGCCGCGAGCAUGAUGUCAGCCGCGGCCGUCGCCA